rnacentral:lncRNA from 1 species
GCACAUACUUAUCAUUAGUAAACUUGAUAUUGUGUUUUGUUGAUCUAGUGAUUGCCUUUUUGCGGAACUUGUGAUUGUUGAAUACUGAGCUUGUUAUUGAGGAUAUAUAAUUUGUUGAAGUGUUGUUGUUGAGGAUAUGUAAUUUGUUAAAGUGUGUUAUUGAGGAUAUGUAAAUUUGUGGAAGUCUUGUUAUUGAGGAUAUGUAAUUUGUUGAAGUGUUGUUGUUGAGGAUAUGUAAUUUGUUAAAGUGUGUUAUUGAGGAUAUGUAAAUUUGUGGAAGUGUUGGUAUUGAGGAUAUCUAAUUUGUUUAAGUGUUGAUGUUGAGGAUAUAUAAUUUGUUAAAGUGUCGUUGUGGAGGAUAUGUAAUUUGUUAAAGUGUUGUUGUGGAGGAUAUGUAAUUUGUCUAAAUGUUUUUGUUGAGUUACGUUCUAUGUAAACUGUGAGUUGUUUGGUUGGGCUGAUGUUUAUGCAGGUUGUAGUUGCGAAGGUUCGGUUGGGGGUGGUAGGAGUACCCGUAUUUCAUCCCCUUAGCUUGUGUUUAGAGGUUUACUUGCUGAGUACCGUGUGAUUUGGUACUCACCCCUUGCUUCUACAAAUUUUUGUAGGUUACUAGCCCGUACUUUUAUGAUAUAUUCUCUUCUUUUCCGAGGCUUCCUAGAGAUUUUGUGAGGUAGUUGUUGGUCAUCUCAGCAUCCCUACUU